GACGAACGCUGGCGGCGUGCUUAACACAUGCAAGUCGAACGGAAAGGCCCUGCUUUUGUGGGGUGCUCGAGUGGCGAACGGGUGAGUAACACGUGAGUAACCUGCCCUUGACUUUGGGAUAACUUCAGGAAACUGGGGCUAAUAUCGGAUAGGAGCUCCUGCUGCAUGGUGGGGGUUGGAAAGUUUCGGCGGUUGGGGAUGGACUCGCGGCUUAUCAGCUUGUUGGUGGGGUAGUGGCUUACCAAGGCUUUGACGGGUAGCCGGCCUGGGAGGGUGACCGGCCACAUUGGGACUGAGAUACGGCCCAGACUCCUACGGGAGGCAGCAGUGGGGAAUAUUGCACAAUGGGCGGAAGCCUGAUGCAGCAACGCCGCGUGCGGGAUGACGGCCUUCGGGUUGUAAACCGCUUUCGCCUGUGACGAAGCGUGAGUGACGGUAAUGGGUAAAGAAGCACCGGCUAACUACGUG
rnacentral:rRNA from 1 species